rnacentral:rRNA from 1 species
AGCGAACGCUGGCGGCAGGCCUAACACAUGCAAGUCGAACGAAGUCUUCGGACUUAGUGGCGGACGGGUGAGUAACACGUAGGAACGUGCCUUUAGGUUCGGAAUAACUCAGGGAAACUUGUGCUAAUACCGAAUGUGCCCUUCGGGGGAAAGAUUUAUCGCCUUUAGAGCGGCCCGCGUCUGAUUAGCUAGUUGGUGUGGUAAAGGCGCACCAAGCCUACGAUCCAUAGCUGGUCUGAGAGGAUGAUCAGCCACACUGGGACUGAGACACGGCCCAGACUCCUACGGGAGGCAGCAGUGGGGAAUCUUGCGCAAUGGGCGAAAGCCAGACGCAGCCAUGCCGCGUGAAUGAUGAAGGUCUUAGGAUUGUAAAGUUCUUUUACCAGGGACGAUAAUGACGGUACCUGGAGAAAAAGCCCCGGCUAACUUCGUGCCAGCCGCCGCCGUAAGAC